rnacentral:rRNA from 1 species
GAUGAACGCUGGCGGCGUGCUUAACACAUGCAAGUCGAACGGUGAAGCCAAGCUUGCUUGGUGGAUCAGUGGCGAACGGGUGAGUAACACGUGAGCAACCUGCCCUGGACUCUGGGAUAAGCGCUGGAAACGGCGUCUAAUACUGGAUAUGAGCCUCUAUCGCAUGGUGGGGGUUGGAAAGAUUUUUUGGUCUGGGAUGGGCUCGCGGCCUAUCAGCUUGUUGGUGAGGUAAUGGCUCACCAAGGCGUCGACGGGUAGCCGGCCUGAGAGGGUGACCGGCCACACUGGGACUGAGACACGGCCCAGACUCCUACGGGAGGCAGCAGUGGGGAAUAUUGCACAAUGGGCGGAAGCCUGAUGCAGCAACGCCGCGUGAGGGAUGACGGCCUUCGGGUUGUAAACCUCUUUUAGCAAGGAAGAAGCUUUUGUGACGGUACUUGCAGAAAAGGCGCCGGCUAACUACGUGCCAGCAGCCGCAGUAACAC